CCACACUGCAAGGAGUGAAAUGCUUUUAUUAGAAUAACUUAUUGGUUACCGGAUGUUUGCUUCAUGACAGCAAGCAGCUGAAUUCAGGGUAAAAAAAAAACCAACAACAUACCAAACCCACAAAACCACUGCCCACACAUCAAAUAUCAACAACAAUGGUUUUCAGAUAGAACAAGCAAAUUAGAAGGCAAUUCAUUUCAGCACUGAUUGUUUAAUGAUUAAUGAUGGAUGCUUUCCUACAUGCCUAAACCUUUUCUGGAACUGAAGGCAUUUUAAGUGGGGAAACUUAUCAUUUGAAUUCUGUUUUUAAACACUGAAGCCUACAGAGGAAUCAUUACUCCCCGACUGUUAGAAAAUGCUUAGUAAAGUAAGAUGCAUGACAGCAUCUAAUAAAAGCAUGAUUUUGAUCACAAUUUUGGAAAGACUGUAUUGUAUCAUGUAUCAUUAUUGUACCAUUAACUAGGCCAAAUGCAUGGCAGUUAUACUGUGUAUUUCAUACAGUUAUAAAUGUUUUACAAAAUGUUUUUAGAAACAUUUAGAAUUAUUUUUCCUAUUUUCUCUCUCUGGUCAUGAGUCCUGCUUGAGUGACCUUCAUGUGAAGCAGCAGUGAUAGUUCAUUCUUUUUAAAAUGUAUGAUGUUAGAUUAUAAUAUUUCAAACAUAAUCAAAACACUGAUUUUUAAAAAAAAAUGAGGUUUUAUGCUACCUGAAGAAAGAUGUGGUGGGAGAGAUUUUAUGUUUCUAAAUGUUAUUUCUUACAGUCAUGCCAACUCCUUUAAUUCACUUUUUAUGUUCUUAACUAUAAAUGAAAUUAAAUAGUUACAUUUUACGUCAGUAAAAUGCAGAGGACAAGACUUCUUGAAGUAACGGCAUAUACUCUAUGAAAAACUGAGGAGGUGCGUAUUUCUCCCAGUUCCCUUCUCUUUGUCCACUGUUUUCUGCAGUUUACCUCAUGCUCAUUUCUGGCCAAAGUAUGUGGCUCUUUUGUAGUUUUUUUAUUUCUCUCCACUGUAGAUUUACUUUCUUCAACUAAUGGGCUGCAAGUCUAUCUUCUAGGAAGCAAGUAUGAAGCACUUCUUGAACACCUAAACCUCGUCUGAUACAAGUUUGCUUCUGCAAAAUAGAUGGUUCUAACCAUGGUAGAUGCUGAGAAUAAAAGCUCCCUUGAGGAGAACAUUGCUAGUAAAAGUAUGGACAGAAGGAUAAUACAGCAUCCAACGCUGAUGACCUGUGCAUCUAUUCUGUGCAAUGAAGUUUAGUGCAAGUAAGUGCUUGCUGCAGCUGACACAUUCACACUUCUCACCAUGAUAAUGGUAGUAGCUGACUGUAGUUCAGGCUAUUGCACUAGACAGCUAGCAUCAGCUACCACAAGUAGCCUCAACACUGCAACGAUGCAACUGCAAGUGUUUCUGAGGUAGUGCUUCCUUUAGUAGCUUAUGCAUCACAGGAGUUUACUUCACUGAACAGUGCAAACAUGCUCAAUAUACUUAAACCCCUCAAAAUCUUAUUUUUAUCAUGUGUAGAACAUAGCAAUAUUCUUUUCCCUUCCCUCACCACUACUUCUUUGGAACGUAAUCUAAAACCUACUGAAGAUUAUUCAAUUAACAUUCUUUUGUGUACAGUCAACAUUUACUGUAACUAUAUACCCAGCCUCAUGGUAAACUCUUACUAUAACCACAAAGAUAUAAUCCUACCUUUUAGACUCUCUGUCAUAUUCUUCUCCAAUCCAUAUAAAUGACUGAGCAGCGAGUAGAGCUGAAAUAUCAAGUUCUUGAACAUCAUGUGUAGAUGCCAAAACAAUUUCAUUGCUGUUUGCCUAUGCAGAACAAAUA